rnacentral:misc_RNA from 1 species
AAAGUCGUAACAAGGUAACCGUAGGUGAACCUGCGGUUGGAUCAUUAAUAAUCCAAGAGUUUAGAGUUGCUUCGGCAAUGUCUAUUCUCUAACUGGCCCUCGGGCCUUAAACCCCUUGUGAACUGUUAUCCUUGACCGGAGCGCAAGCAAAAGUCUUGGAGUUUUUAACCUGGUUUUUAUUGUCUAAUUCAAAGAUUUUAAUCUUUACAACUUUUGACAAUGGAUCUCUAGGCUCUC